UACAGAGGUGGCAAGCGUUGUUCGGAAUUACUGGGCGUAAAGAGCGCGCAGGCGGUCGAUCAAGUCGAGUGUGAAAGCCCCCGGCUCAACUGGGGAGGGUCAUUCGAUACUGUUCGACUCGAAGGCAGGAGAGGGAAGUGGAAUUCCCGGUGUAGUGGUGAAAUGCGUAGAUAUCGGGAGGAACACCAGUGGCGAAGGCGACUUCCUGGCCUGUUCUUGACGCUGAGGCGCGAAAGCUAGGGGAGCAAACGGG
rnacentral:rRNA from 1 species